rnacentral:rRNA from 1 species
GCUCGGAGGUGCGGGUAUCGAACAGGAUUAGAUACCCUGGUAGUCCGCACGGUAAACGAUGGAUGCCCGCUGUUCGCGAUAGACUGUGAGCGGCCCAAGAGAAAUCGUUAAGCAUCCCACCUGGGGAGUACGCCGGCAACGGUGAAACUCAAAGGAAUUGACGGGGGCCCGCACAAGCGGAGGAACAUGUGGUUUAAUUCGAUGAUACGCGAGGAACCUUACCCGGGCUUGAACUGCCAGCGAACGAUACAGAGAUGUUGAGGCCCUUCGGGGCGCUGGUGGAGGUGCUGCAUGGUUGUCGUCAGCUCGUGCCGUGAGGUGUCGGCUUAAGUGCCAUAACGAGCGCAACCCUUUUCAUUAGUUGCCAUCAGGUAAUGCUGGGCACUCUGGUGAUACUGCCACCGUAAGGUGUGAGGAAGGUGGGGAUGACGUCAAAUCAGCACGGCCCUUACGUCCGGGGCUACACACGUGUUACAAUGGGUGGUGCAGAGGGCAGGAUCAAUGCAAAUUGGUUCAAAUCUUAAAAGCCAUCCUCAGUUCGGAUUGGGGUCUGCAACCCGACCCCAUGAAGCUGGAUUCGCUAGUAAUCGCGCAUCAGCCAAGGCGCGGUGAAUACGUUCCCGGGCCUUGUACACACCGCCCGUCAAGCCAUGAAAGCCGGGGGCGCCUGAAGUCCGUGACCGCGAGGGUCGGCCUAGGGUGAGACCGGUGAUUGGGGCUAAGUCGUAACAAGGUAGCCGUA